rnacentral:rRNA from 1 species
GUGGGGAAUAUUGGACAAUGGGCGAGAGCCUGAACCAGCCAAGUCGCGUGAAGGAAGAAGGAUCUAUGGUUCGUAAACUUCUUUUGCAGGGGAAUAAAGUGCGGGACGUGUCCUGUUUUGUAUGUACCCUGAGAAUAAGGAUCGGCUAACUCCGUGCCAGCAGCCGCGGUAAUACGGAGGAUCCGAGCGUUAUCCGGAUUUAUUGGGUUUAAAGGGUGCGUAGGUGGUUUGAUAAGUCAGCGGUGAAAGUUUGCAGCUUAACUGUAAAAAUGCCGUUGAAACUGUCGGACUUGAGUGUAAAUGAGGUAGGCGGAAUGCGUGGUGUAGCGGUGAAAUGCAUAGAUAUCACGCAGAACUCCGAUUGCGAAGGCAGCUUACUAAGCUACAACUGACACUGAAGCACGAAAGCGUGGGGAUCAAACAGGAUUAGAUACCCUAGUAGUCC